rnacentral:rRNA from 1 species
CAGAGGGAGAGUCUGGUGCCAGCAGCCGCGGUAAUUCCAGCUCUGCGAAGGAACGUAUAAAUUGUUGCAGUUAAAAAACGCGUAGCAGUGUGUCGCUCUAUUUUGUGGUUAUUUUGUUUCCCGAAAGGGGAAUGAAGUAGCCACGUAGAGUUUCGAUCACAUCGCUAUGAUUCGAAAGAGUCGUAGUGGAUUGAUCACUAUUACUGUGAGUAAAUCGGAACGCUCAAGGUGGGUAAUUGCUUGAACGUUUCUCAUGGAAUAAUCCCUUUAAGAUAUUAAAGGUUGAUUGGUUUCCUUUAACGUCUUUUCAAACAGGAACAGGUGGGGGAGAUCGUACCUUGCAGCUAAAUGUUUUCAUUUGUCAAGCGUGAAAGCCGGAGGAUCGAAGAAGAUUAGAUACCUUUGUAGUUCCGGCCCUAAACGAUGCCGACUCGGGAUUAGAGGUCGUUAUUUUGACUCCUCUAGUACCGUAUGAGAAAUCAAAGUCUUUGGGUUCCGGGGGGAGUAUGAUCGCAAGGUUGAAACUUAAAGAAAUUGACGGAAGGGCACACCAGUAGUGGAGCCUGCGGUUUAAUUUGACGCAACACGGGGAAACUCACCAGGUCCAGACAUGAGAAGGAUUGACAGUUUGAAAGCACUUUCUUGAUUUUAUGGGUGGUGGUGCAUGGCCGUUCUUAGUUGGUGGAGUGAUUUGUCUGGUUGAUUCCGAUAACGAACGAGACCCGGACUGGUAAAUAGUCUACAUUAACUUUCGUUAGUGUGUUGGCUUCUUACUGGGACAACUCGCUUUUAGCGAGAGGAAGCGCCGGGCAAUAACAGGUCUGUGAUGCCCUUAGAUGUUCUGGGCUACACGCGCGCUACAAUGAUGGUUUCAACGAGUUUUUGCUUGCUCGGAAGGGCUCGCUAAUCUUUUCAAUGGCCAUCGUGAUGGGGCUAGAUUCUUGUAAUUAUUAAUCUUCAACGAGGAAUUACUAGUAUGUGCGGUUCAUCAGACCGCGCAGAAUGCGUCCCUGCCCUUUGUACACACCGCCCGUCGCAGCUACCGAUGAGUCAUUUCGUGAGGGCUUUGGAGAGAUUUAAUUUGGUUUCGGCCGAGUUAAAUCUCAAAGCUGCUCAAACGACACGAUUUAGAGGAAGCUGAAGUCGUAAC